rnacentral:lncRNA from 1 species
ACGCAGCUUCUCAUGGCGAUCCCCUCUCCAUCGCCCCGAGGCCACCGCUAGUCAUCGCCGAUCGUCCACCGCCGGCCUGUCGACAAACGCAGUCAUCGCAGAGAGCUCGUCCGCAAAGAGCAGAGCGGGGGGCACAGGGGGAGCUCAGGGAGAGAAUUCUCUCUCAGAGAAUCGGUUUCCGGAGGAUUCUCCAUCUUUAUUUCCUCUCAGUCGCGUCAAUUACAACUAUUGAGAGCCGCCCGAUCGCCACCAGUUCUGUGGCUGUGAAGAGCCUAUGUUCGCCC